rnacentral:rRNA from 1 species
GACGAACGCUGGCGGCGUGCUUAACACAUGCAAGUCGAACGAUGAAGAAAAGAAUUGAAGCUUCGGCAGAAAUUCAUUUCGGAUUAGUGGCAGACGGGUGAGUAACGCGUGAGCAACCUACCUCUUACAAAGGGAUAGCCUCGGGAAACCGGGAUUAAUACCAUAUAACAUUGCGACGAAGCAUUUCGAUGCAAUCAAAGCUACGGCGGUAAGAGAUGGGCUCGCGUCCCAUUAACCAGAUGGUGAGGUAACGGCUCACCAUAGUAACGAUGGGUAACCGGCCUGAGAGGGUGAACGGUCACACUGGAACUGAGACACGGUCCAGACUCCUACGGGAGGCAGCAGUGGGGAAUAUUGCACAAUGGAGGGAACUCUGAUGCAGCGACGCCGCGUGAGUGAUGAAGGAAUUCGUUUCGUAAAACUCUGUUCUAUGGGAAGAAAAGGACUGUACCAUAGGAGAAAGCUCCGGCUAAAUACGUGCCAGCAGCCGCGGUAAUACGUAUGGAGCGAGCGUUGUCCGGAAUUAUUGGGCGUAAAGGGUGCGCAGGCGGCUUUACAAGUUGGAUGUGAAAUAUUGUGGCUCAACCACAAACGUGCAUCCAAAACUGCAAAGCUUGAGUUAAGGAGAGGUAAGUGGAAUUCCUGGUGUAGCGGUGGAAUGCGUAGAUAUCAGGAGGAAUACCGGUGGCGAAGGCGACUUACUGGACUUAAACUGACGCUCAGGCACGAAAGCGUGGGGAGCAAACAGG